rnacentral:rRNA from 1 species
GAUGCAGCCAUGCCGCGUGUGUGAAGAAGGACCUUCGGGUUGUAAAGCACGUUUCAGUAGGGAGGAAGGUAGUGUAGUUAACACCUGCAUUAUUUGACGUUACCUACAGAAGAAGCACCGGCUAACUCCGUGCCAGCAGCCGCGGUAAUACGGAGGGUGCGAGCGUUAAUCGGAAUUACUGGGCGUAAAGCGCAUGCAGGCGGCCUGUUAAGUCAGAUGUGAAAGCCCGGGGCUUAACCUCGGAAUUGCAUUUGAAACUGGCAGGCUAGAGUCUUGUAGAGGGGGGUAGGAAUUUCAGGUGUAGCGGUGAAAUGCGUAGAGAUCUGAAGGAAUACCAGUGGCGAAGGCGGCCCCCUGGACAAAGACUGACGCUCAGAUGCGAAAGCGUGGGGAGCAAACAGGAUUAGAUACCCUGGUAG